UAUCUCUGUAGAGUCUGCAUAUCAAUAAGCGGAGGAAAAGAAACUAACAAGGAUUCCCCUAGUAACGGCGAGUGAAGCGGGAAGAGCUCAAAUUUGAAAUCUUCAAGGUUUGACCUUGACGAAUUGUAGUUUAAAGAAGUGUUUUCGGUUAGAGGAGUAGUAAAAGUUCUUUGGAAUAGGACAUCAUAGAGGGUGAGAAUCCCGUAUUUGACUAUUCUUUCUAGCUUUGUGAUACACUUUCAAAGAGUCGGAUUGUUUGGGAAUGCAGUCCAAAAUGGGUGGUAAAUUUCAUCUAAAGCUAAAUAUUGGCGAGAGACCGAUAGCGAACAAGUACCGUGAGGGAAAGAUGAAAAGAACUUUGAAAAGAGAGUUAAACAGUACGUGAAAUUGUCAAAAGGGAAGCGUUUGACACCAGUGUUGUUUUUCCGAAAAUCAAUUAAAAAUUGAUUCAUGCCAGGUUGUAUUGACCUUAUCAGCUUGCAAUUUGGUUUUGGGUCUCUUUUUGAUGCACUUUUCGGUUAACAAGUCAACAUCAAUUUCCUUUGCUGUAAAAAGGUAAGAGGAAGGUGGCUUCAAUUUCGGUCGAAGUGUUUAUAGCCUUUUAUCUCUGCAGUCGGGGAGAUUGAGGUCUGCGGCGUAGAUCCUUCGGGGCUAGAUACAUUUAUGCUAAGUUAUAGCUUUUCAUAGACAACUUGUUGACUAUGUUUAGUCAUGUAGCUUACUCGUAAGUGCUAUUUUACCUACGCUUAGGAUGUUGAAGACUCUACAGAGAUA
rnacentral:rRNA from 1 species